CCUGCGGGGGCCCGGGGGGCGCAUCCCGGCGUUGGCGGCAGCCCCCGCCCCGCCAGCCCGCCCAGCCUGCGGGACGGCAGCGCCGCCGGAGCGUUGCCCUUUUAAGCUGUGGCCCCGCUCGCCUCCUCCCCGGCUCCCGGAGGGGCUCCGGCAGCCGGCACCGAGCGAGCGACACCGAGCGACCUCCGCGGCCGCGGAACGGAGCGGAGCCCCAGGGCGGCGGCGGGGCCGCGGGCACCGGGCUGCCCCCGCGCUGCCCCCGCUGCUCGGGGACCAUGGGAUGCUGCACCGGCCGCUGCACCCUCAUCUUCCUCUGCACUUUGCAGCUGGUGAGUGGAGCCCGCUCGGCAUCGGGGGGAGCCGGCGGGACCUGCGGGUUCGGCUCGCCGGGACAAAAGCGCCUCGGUGCCCGCUGCCCCGGCUGGCUGCUCUGGAGAGGCAAGUGUUCGACUUCCUGGGCUACCAGUGGGCUCCAAUCCUCGCCAACUUCCUGCACAUCAUCAUCGUCAUCCUGGGGCUCUUCGGCACCAUCCAGUACCGGCCGCGCUACAUCGUGGUGUAUGCCAUCUGGACUGCAGUCUGGGUCACCUGGAACAUCUUCAUCAUCUGCUUCUACUUAGAAGUGGGAGGGCUCUCAAAGGACAGCGAGCUCCUGACAUUCAACAUCUCCCGGCACCAGUCGUGGUGGAGUGAGAAUGGCCCUGGCUGUGUGAGGAAGGAGGCUCCAAUGUCUGGCAUCAAGGGGCUGGAUAGCCAUUCCUACAUCUCUGUCAUCGGCUGUGCCCUGGAGUAUCGCUACAUCGAGGUCAUGCACAGCUCCUUCCAGAUCCUCAUCGCGCUGGUGGGCUUUGUGUACGCCUGUUACGUGGUUAGUGUUUUUACAGAAGAAGAAGACAGCUUUGAUUUCAUUGGUGGAUUUGAUCCAUUUCCUCUCUACCAUGUCAAUGAAAAACCCACCAACCUUUUGUUCAAGCAGACAUACCUGUAGACUUUUUCCCAAACAAACAACAUGAAUUUGCAAACUCUUUUGAUCAUCCUGAAGCUGCAUGUGUAAGAGGCCUGCGUAAGUGAAGAGGAGCCAGAGGAUGGAUGAACCUUGCACUCCACCAAAGGUGCUGCAGGAAACAGUCCCCUGGGGCCUGGAUCUUUGGCAGAGGAAAUGCAGGAUUGUGAACUCCACUCCAUUUUUCCGUUCCUUGUCUUCUUUUCAAACGCAAUGAAUGUACAUCACAGAACGGCCACACCGUUGGUUUUUAAUCCUCCAAGUGCCCUGACGAACCUUUCCUACCACAGUCUGCUGGUACUGGCCCAGAAAUGGCACAGGCCUAAAGACCAAGUUCACCAAGAGCCUCUCUCAAGAGCUGCAGUUGAAGCUGGAGCUGCUUCCUUGUGCCAUGGAUCCAGAAAGAAGGAAGCACUGUACAACACCCUGGGACAUUUCAUAUUUUCUGUAGUUAGUCUCCUCCCUUUUUCUGAACAGAGCCUAAACACCCUAACACAACUUCAUCUCCUCCCUGCCUGCAUAAAAUGAGGUGGGGGCUCUUUACACUCGAGUUACUUAGGCAUUGUUGGGUUCUAAGUGAUAGGUGAGAACUUUUCCCCCCUUUGUGCCCCCAGCCAGGACCCCCUUGCUCAUUCUCUGUAGACUUGGCAGUAGGCUUUUGUCCUGGAGCUCAGUGUGGCCUGGCUCCUGUAAUGCUGAACAGCUGAAAACCACUGCAGCCACCAGCUCUUCACUCAGCAUGCAGCUUCACCCCACGUCCAACCAGCCCAGCCAUCCCUGGAGCAGCUGUAGCCUAAUCUGGGUCUGCCCAGCUACAUUAAAUUAACCCUGGUGUGGCUGGAUCCUGCUGCAGGCCCGGGAAAAAGCCCAGUUCCUCAUGGAGCAGAGGUGGGUUUGCACCUGCCCUCUUCACCUAGAGCCACACCUAUUGCAUGGUGACAGCCUGGUGGGAGAGUUUCAUUUCUGACAGGCUUUUUGAGGGGAGGGAAAGGGCUGAAGGGGGAAUGCCAGUGUAAUUAAGUUGCAUUAAUGAGCUGCAGCAGUUGAUUAAAACAAAGAACAAAACCAAGUCAGUUUUGUUAGCUGUGUCUCCCAGCAUGUGAAGUGUCAAAAACAGAAGAGGAGCAGUUGUCAGCCAGCCCUGGCAUAUUUGGGCUGAUACUUCAAGUGCUGUUGUAAUUCAUUAUUGUCUUGCCUAAUUUGUUUGGGAUUACUUGGCAUUUUUUGAGAAAUGCUUUUCAGAAGGGUCAAGCUUGAAGCCAUGCUAGGGAGAAGUGUGAGGGAAGAAUUAAAAACAAAAAUAAAAACAUUAAGUGCUAAAUCAAAGACAGAAUGAUGCAGCUUUCUUUGGUCUCAUUCCACAGGGCCCAGGAUGCAAAAUCCUCUUUUAUAAACCCAAAUGCAUAGGCACUGAGAGAGUAUUUUUUACCUCUGUGCAACUUCUAUUCCAGAUACUCAAACAUCCUGAGUUCUGCUUGGGUGCAGCUGCAAGUAAAAAUGUUGUUUUCUGUAGAGUGUUUUUUUCCCUUUUUUUAAGGCACCGAAAUCCACAGCUUCUGCCUGAGCAAAACAGACAACUAGUUUCAUCCUUGUUUAAUACCUCAAAGAAAAAAGCUCAGCCCUGACAGCUCUGCAUGACAAAAGACAGGUACCUCCUUUAUUAUUAACGUUGUGUCACUACCAAAUUAAAAAAUAGCAAUAAAACACAAGCUACUCUCCAUUUUGAGAUCACACAUAGUGUGCACACAUUUAGAAUGCUUUCCCCACCUCUCCUUUAUUGGCUUUCUUUAUGGAUCACUGUCAUUCCUGUCUGUCCACCUGAUGUUCCCUGGAAAGGCAGAAAACCAAAAAGAAUACACAUCCUCUAUUCAAUGAGAUUUUCCCAUUAAAGAUUUCAUUUGUUUGUGCCUUUUCAAA